AUUAUUAUAAAAUUAUUUCAUUCAAACACAUAAGCAAAUUCAAGCAAAAAUUCAAAAAUAUUUAUGAAUAAAUUAGACUAAGCAAAUUAUUUUUUAAAUUAUAAUAACUAUGUGUACUUUCAAAAAUAUGAUUAAUUGAAAACUGAAUACUUAGUCACUACCAGUUAUCAUGUGGAAAAAAUUAUACAACAAAAAUUCUAUAUCAUUCUUCUUGAAGUUUGAAAGGGAAGCCGAUUACUUUAUUUAUGUCACAGAUUAUCACCAAUUAUGGUUUUUAGAACUACAUGAACAGGAUUUAAUUUCUUUGCUGCAAAAUUCUAACUUAUUAUUAGAAGUUUGCACAGAUGAAUUAUUGAGAAAUGGUGUAAAUAUGCUGGCAGAUCCAAUAAAUUUGAAAAAUAUUGAUAUAGUAGAAGAGGAGAAUUUAUUAAAAGUUUCAAUGACUAAGAGUUAUCCAUAUCCAUUAAAAUUGGUAAUGAAGCUCACACAUGGACCUAAUGAAAUGUUUUUUCAACAUGUGACACAGCCUUUAUUAAUGACAAUACAAGAUUUGAAAAGAAGUGAGAGUGAAUUAAGAGAUUUGCUGAUAUGUAAAGAUAAAGAGAUUGAAGAAUAUAAAAUGGAAGCCGGAGAAGUAUGCCUACGUUAUCUGAAGACAAAACCAUAUAAUGAUGCAGCUCACAUGGAAUGCCACACUAUGUAUAACAUAAAUUUUGGUUUAACAAAUGUUGAAACUUCGUUGCUGGAAAAAAGGAUCAAUGUCAAAAAUGUUGUCGUAAAACAAGAAUUUGAUCAAAAUCAUCGAGAAGUGAAAUUGGAAACCGAGACACAAGAUAAACCGUUAGACCAAGAAGUUAGAAAUAUCAAAACUGAAAUAAAAUCAGACCUUACAUCUAUAAUGAAUCCAAUGAAAAAGAAAAUAAAACUAAAUAUUUGAUUUUUUGAUUCUAUUGGUUAACAUUUUUGAAAGAUUUCAUUGUUUUAGUUACACAGAGUCUUUUAUAGACAUGAGGCUAAAUGAAGCGGUUGCCUAUUGUCACGUGAUGCUUUUCAGAAUUCUUGAAAAUCCAAUAUUCCGAACGGGACCCCGAUUGGGAUAGAUUUUUGAAUCAUGCACAUGUAGAUAUUGUCGUUGCCAGCCGUCAGUAUUACUUUCAAUGUUAUAUUCAGUCCAAUGCAGACUCUAUAGUAUAACGGAAGACGCUUGCGUUUAUUUGCCGCCCACAUACUCUUCAACACCAGAGGAAUCACAAGAGCGCUGCUAGUUUUUUUUUGAAGGUACCCAUGUCUUAUCGUCCUGGAAACAAAGCUAAUUGCACAGCUUCAGUCUAUGUGGAAAAAAGUUCCUGGAAAACCGCACUGUGGAGGAACGCACACAUCCAGAUAGUGGAGAUGAUAUUUUAAAUAGUGGCGUGUCGUGCGAAGGUGAAGGGUGAAGCACCCAUUGGAACAUUCCCCGUGAUGCGGUAAAGAUACACACAAUGAGACCUGCAUGGCCAGUGUAUACUGCAUCACCAGUACUGUCGUCUGCAUAUCAAUGAUAUGUUGCAGACCUCCAACAUAACAUAUGAAACAGUAUAGGAGAUAGCACACAACCUUAGGGCACUCCAGCUGUCACAGGCUUUGGGUUCGAGCAAUAAUCGUCGACAACAACCUGUAUGCUGCGCCCGGUGAGGAAGCUGGAGGUGCACUUGUAUAAACUCUUGGGAAGCCCAAAUGAUGUAUAAGAAAAUAAAACUUGUUUCAAUCUUAAGCACCGAUCACUACCAUUAAAAUUAGUAAAAGAAUACUCUAAGCUUGGUGGUCUACCUUAACGUGACAUUGGCAAACUUGUGGUAUACCUUCCACUGGAGCCAUAGUAGGAAGAAUAGAAUAGAAUAGGUUAAAGACUGAAAUGUGCCACCGUGAUGAAUGUAUUGAGCGGCGUAAUUCAUGGUUAUUAUCAGUUUCCACGUCGUUUUGUAAAUCUAUAUACUUAGGUAAAAUUAAAUUAUGAGAUAUAAUACUGAGAAUGAAACACAUUGUCAUUUUAAAUCAUUUAUUAAUGUACCUAUAAUUACUGAGUAUUCAUAUUAGAUAUGAUUAUCAAUUUACAAAUUAAUUUUAUUCCAAUCAUGCACGUAUCUAUGACAUCACAAAAGAAAAUAUUAAAAAAUUGUAAAAAGUG